UACGGGGGGGGCAAGCGUUGUUCGGAAUUACUGGGCGUAAAGGGCGCGUAGGCGGUGCUCUAAGUCGGAUGUGAAAACUCUGGGCUCAACCCAGAGCCUGCAUCCGAAACUGGAGUGCUAGAGUUCUGGAGGGGGUAGCGGAAUUCCUGGUGUAGCGGUGAAAUGCGUAGAUAUCAGGAGGAACACCGGUGGCGAAGGCGGCUACCUGGACAGAAACUGACGCUGAAUAGCGAAAGCCAGGGGAGCAAACGGG
rnacentral:rRNA from 1 species